rnacentral:lncRNA from 1 species
GGUAAUAUAUGUUUGGUAGGCAUCAAUGCAAAUAAUCAGUCAGGAACAUAAACAUGGUUGAUGUAAAGCCAUAGCAAUCGAUUAUGGUUGAUAGCUGAAUGCUCCUGCACACAUUUGUAGCGUUUUUUUGCAGAACAAUUUACAUUGGCUGCAAGUGUUGAUGAAACUUGUUAAGACACAAUAUUUAAUAUUUAAAUCUCUACAUACGAGGUAUUUAUAUAUUAAAUGAUAAUUAAAAUAAUUUUAUAAGUUAUAAAAUUUAUUAUCCAAUAAAUCAAUAACACAUAACAUGAAUGACAUAUAAUAUUAAAACUCAAAUAUUAAGAUUUCUAAUAUUAUUAUUAUUGUUAUUAUUUUAACUAAAUUAGAUGUAAUUUGUAUAUAUAUUGUCUUUAAUGAGAGCAUAAAUCCUCGUCUGGAGUUGUGCAUCUCAUAAGCUGCUAAAAUGUGUUUUAAGAUCGAGGAGGAGGAAACUCACUUAACAAUAUGCAACGCCCGAUCAAUAAUAUAUCCAGUACCACUACCAGCAGUGGUGAUAGUGCACGUGACAUCAUUAUUCACUCGGCGCACGAUGAUGGGCCCCCCCGCUCACUCGAUCAAGAAUCAAGAUCACGAGCACACCUGACCUGAGGCUGAAAGUUGGUGGUGGCUUGAAUUGCGGUCAUGCCACACAGAAUCUAGAAUAUGCUUAAAGGCCCGGAUAGAUCGUGCCAUCAUAUGAAGAGCAAUCAAGAAUCGGUGCUUUUUAUCUAACCUACAUAAGAAAAUGGGGGCGUUACUUAGGGAUAGAUAGAUGGGGAGAGGCUUUCAGGGGUUCUAUCUAUGCACUGGUCGGCACUUAGUAUGGGCUUUCACUAUCAAAAUGAGAUAAUGGGCCAACAACCCAAAUACGUUGGUAGAAUAUUUUAACUCCUGGAGUGCUAUACUUAUAAAAUUGAGAGACUUGAUAAUAUACAAUAUACAUAUUGCAACAAUGAUAUCGUGCGUG